rnacentral:rRNA from 1 species
GACGAACGCUGGCGGCGUGCUUAACACAUGCAAGUCGAACGGAAUGGCCCUGCUUUUGUGGGGUGCUCGAGUGGCGAACGGGUGAGUAACACGUGAGUAACCUGCCCUUGACUUUGGGAUAACUUCAGGAAACUGGGGCUAAUACCGGAUAGGAGCUCCUGCUGCAUGGUGGGGGUUGGAAAGUUUCGGCGGUUGGGGAUGGACUCGCGGCUUAUCAGCUUGUUGGUGGGGUAGUGGCUUACCAAGGCUUUGACGGGUAGCCGGCCUGAGAGGGUGACCGGCCACAUUGGGACUGAGAUACGGCCCAGACUCCUACGGGAGGCAGCAGUGGGGAAUAUUGCACAAUGGGCGGAAGCCUGAUGCAGCAACGCCGCGUGCGGGAUGACGGCCUUCGGGUUGUAAACCGCUUUCGCCUGUGACGAAGCGUGAGUGACGGUAAUGGGUAAAGAAGCACCGGCUAACUACGU